rnacentral:rRNA from 1 species
UACGUGGGGUGCAAACGUUGCUCGGAAUUAUUGGGCGUAAAGCGCACGUAGGCGGCUCUCUAAGUCGCAUGUGAAAGCCCCAGGCUUAACCUGGGAACUGCGUCGGAUACUGGCGGGCUUGAAUCCGGGAGAGGGAUGCGGAAUUCCAGGUGUAGCGGUGAAAUGCGUAGAUAUCUGGAGGAACACCGGUGGCGAAGGCGGCAUCCUGGACCGGCAUUGACGCUGAAUAGCGAAAGCCAGGGGAGCAAACGGG